rnacentral:rRNA from 1 species
UACGGAGGGUGCAAGCAUUAAUCGGAUUUAUUGGGCGUAAAGAGGGCGUAGGCGGAUAAGUAAGUCAGAUGUGAAAGCCCGGGGCUCAACCCCGGAACGGCAUUUGAAACUGCAUUUCUAGAGGAUAGGCGGAGAAAACGGAAUUCCACAUGUAGCGGUGAAAUGCGUAGAUAUGUGGAAGAACACCGGUGGCGAAGGCGGUUUUCUAGCUUAUUCCUGACGCUGAGGCCCGAAAGCAAGGGGAGCAAACAGG